rnacentral:rRNA from 1 species
AAGAGAUUCUGGUGUGCCUUCGGGAACUGUAAGGACAGGUGCUGCAUGGCUGUCGUCAGCUCGUGUUGUGAAAUAGUUGGGUUAAGUCCCGUAACGAGCGCAACCCUUGUCCUUAUUUGCCAGCGAGUAAUGUCGGGAACUCUAAGGAGACUGCCGGUGACAAACCGGAGGAAGGUGGGGACGACGUCAAGUCAUCAUGGCCCUUACGGGUAGGGCUACACACGUGCUACAAUGGCCGGUACAAAGGGCUGCGAGCUCGCGAGAGUCAGCGAAUCCCUUAAAGCCGGUCUCAGUCCGGAUCGGAGUCUGCAACUCGACUCCGUGAAGUCGGAAUCGCUAGUAAUCGUGAAUCAGAAUGUCACGGUGAAUACGUUCCCGGGCCUU